CAGUAGCCGCGGUAAUACGGAGGGUGCAAGCGUUAUCCGGAUUCACUGGGUUUAAAGGGUGCGUAGGCGGAUCUGUAAGUCAGUGGUGAAAUCUCCAGGCUUAACCUGGAAACUGCCGUUGAUACUAUAGGUCUUGAAUUUUGUGGAGGUUAGCGGAAUAUGUCAUGUAGCGGUGAAAUGCAUAGAUAUGACCCAGAACCCCGAUUGCGAAGGCAGGCUACUACGACUUGAUUGACACUGAGGCACGAGAGCAUGGGGAGCCAACAGGAUUAGAUACCCCAGUAGUCCCUGUCUCUUAUAA
rnacentral:rRNA from 1 species